CAGUCGCCGCGGGAAUACAGAGGGUGCGAGCGUUAAUCGGAUUUACUGGGCGUAAAGCGUGCGUAGGCGGCUUUUUAAGUCGGAUGUGAAAUCCCUGAGCUUAACUUAGGAAUUGCAUUCGAUACUGGGAAGCUAGAGUAUGGGAGAGGAUGGUAGAAUUCCAGGUGUAGCGGUGAAAUGCGUAGAGAUCUGGAGGAAUACCGAUGGCGAAGGUAGCCAUCUGGCCUAAUACUGACGCUGAGGUACGAAAGCAUGGGGAGCAAACAGGAUUAGAUACCCCGGUAGUCCCUGUCUCUUAUAC
rnacentral:rRNA from 1 species